rnacentral:rRNA from 1 species
CAGCUGUAAACGAUGCAGACUAGGUGUUUGGACGGCCACGUGCCGUUCUAGUGCCGCAGGGAAGCUGUUAAGUCUGCCGCCUGGGGAGUACGAUCGCAAGAUUGAAACUUAAAGGAAUUGGCGGGGGAGCACCACAAGGGGUGAAGCUUGCGGUUUAAUUGGAGUCAACGCCGGAAAUCUCACCGGGAGCGACAGCAGUGUGAUAGCCAGAUUAAAGGUCUUGCUAGACGAGCUGAGAGGAGGUGCAUGGCGUAGUCGUGU